ensembl:snoRNA
ACGCGCUGCCUUUGAGCCCCCGCCGUGCCUCCUCGUGGCGCCGGGGGUUAAGCUGCAGCGCCAUAGCACGUUGCUCGCGCAUAACUGGGGCCACCUGCUCAUCGCGGGUGGCCCUUUUAACCGCCAGCUACAGGG